AGGGUUCGAUUAUGGCUCAGGACGAACGCUGGCGGCGUGCUUAACACAUGCAAGUCGAACGGGGCACCCUUGACGGAGAUUUCGGUCAACAGAUAGGAAUGCUUAGUGGCGGACGGGUGAGUAACGCGUGAGGAACCUGCCUUUCAGAGGGGGACAACAGUUGGAAACGACUGCUAAUACCGCAUAAUAUAUACGGACCGCAUGAUCUGUAUAUCAAAGAUUUAUCGCUGAAAGAUGGCCUCGCGUCUGAUUAGAUAGUUGGCGGGGUAACGGCCCACCAAGUCGACGAUCAGUAGCCGGACUGAGAGGUUGAACGGCCACAUUGGGACUGAGAUACGGCCCAG
rnacentral:rRNA from 1 species